GCGGAUUCGGAGGAAAGAGCUCAAAUUUCAGGACCAUGAUCGAGACAAACAACAGAAAUGAUGCUAAAUCAUCAUAGCAGGCCUGCAAAACUUAAACUUGCAGGUGCUGAUGUGUGGUGCAUAGCGACAGAAGUUCCGUUGCCGCGGGGUUGUCACGCACAUCUGUGUGAUUCCAGACAAUGGUGUGAAGGCCUUUCCACAGGAAGUACAGAACUUGGACGGAGAAAAAGAUGUUCAAGUGAAGAACUCUCCUUGCAUCAAAGGGCCAUAUUCUUCAACUCCAGCUAGCCAGGGACUGAACGGUGGGCGUGUCAUUUAAGUCUGAGAUGAGGUGUACUGUUUUUUUCCAUGUGACUUGUGAUUUUGCCAGGCAGAAAAAUCCAUAGUCCCCUUUGACUUGGACUUGUUAGUAACCAGCUGGCAUCAAACCAAAAUACUUCAGCAACCUUUGAACAAUUGCAUAGCGAUGUGCUAACAACCACUCAGAACACCUAAGCAACUGCAUAGCAACUCCUUAACAACCAAUCGCAAAACUGUUAUUAUCCUUUCUCAUAUCGCACACAAUGAAGCAGAAUUGGAGGAAAAAACCCUUGCUAUUGUACUGGCCAUCCUGCAGGACAUCUAUAGAGAAUGCAAGAUUAGGGCUGGAAAACUCACGACAGAUUUUAGCCAUACCGCUGUGGUCGGAUAAACAGAGGGCAAGUCGUGCCACUUUCUCCAAGAAAUACAGAUUUUUUAUUUGUGCCAAAUGUGCCCGUUUUUGAGAAACCACUAACAUAUUGUUCCCCUCUGAUGUUUUGGUCUCUUGCACACAAAAAACAUUUCACUGCCACUGUAUCAGAUGUGCAGACAACAAACAAAAGUUAUAACUUAUACCAGACGCAUACAGUAACAAAAAUGAUUUGAACGUGAAUCUCUGUUUCACACUCGCCAGUUGGUUUAUUUGUCACGAGUUUCUUUAGUGUUGUUUUAUUCAUUUGUAUAACUUUCUGCUUGUCCAAAUUCUUAAUUUAAACCAUCGAUUCAGAAAGAGACAGAAAGUUACAUUUCAUAGAUUACUAAAUGCAUUUAGACAAUGUCUGUCUGUCUGGACACAUGCGUCUGGCCUGAAAUUACAGUAAUUUACAAUCUGUAUUUGGUAUACUAAAACAAUAUUUUAUUAAUGUAUUAUUUAGAUUA